rnacentral:rRNA from 1 species
UACAGGGGGUGCAAACGUUUGGCUCGGAAUCAUUGGGCGUAAAGCGCGACGUAGGCGGUUCGUUAAGUCGGGAUGUGAAAGCCCUCGGCUCAACUGAGGAAGUGCACCCGAAACUGGCGAGCUUGAGUACGAAAGAGGAUCGCGGAAUUCCCGGUGUAGAGGUGAAAUUCGUAGAUAUUCGGCGGAACACCAGUGGCGAAGGCGACUCACUGGCCCGAUACUGACGCUGAGGCG